AUUCAUGCAUUGAAGGGAAUAUAGUAUUGUUUAUCUCCCUGUUUUAUAGAGAGCUGAUGGUCGGUGCAAGUCAGUACAAAGAUAAACAUGAAUUUCACUCCUAGAGCACUUUUUCAUAAUAAAGUUGUCAUGCUUUAUGAAGGAAAAGGCGGUCAAUUGAUCGUUAACAAUGAAGAGUGGUAGAUAAUUGGAUCUACAACUAGGGUGGUACCGCGAUAAUAUCGUCCCUACU
rnacentral:ncRNA from 1 species